AGUCGACGAUGAAUCUUCUAGCUUGCUAGAAGUGGAUUAGUGGCGCACGGGUGAGUAAUGCAUAGGUUAUGUGCCCUUUAGUCUGGGAUAGCCACUGGAAACGGUGAUUAAUACUGGAUACUCCCUACGGGGGAAAGUUUUUCGCUAAAGGAUCAGCCUAUGUCCUAUCAGCUUGUUGGUGAGGUAAUGGCUCACCAAGGCUAUGACGGGUAUCCGGCCUGAGAGGGUGAUCGGACACACUGGAACUGAGACACGGUCCAGACUCCUACGGGAGGCAGCAGUAGGGAAUAUUGCUCAAUGGGGGAAACCCUGAAGCAGCAACGCCGCGUGGAGGAUGAAGGUUUUAGGAUUGUAAACUCCUUUUGUUAGAGAAGAUUAUGACGGUAUCUAACGAAUAAGCACCGGCUAACUCCGUGCCAGCAGCCGCGGUAAUACGGAGGGUGCAAGCGUUACUCGGAAUCACUGGGCGUAAAGAGUGCGUAGGCGGGGUAAUAAGUCAGAUGUGAAAUCCUGUAGCUUAACUACAGAACUGCAUUUGAAACUGUUACUCUGGAGUGUGGGAGAGGUAGGUGGAAUUCUUGGUGUAGGGGUAAAAUCCGUAGAGAUCAAGAGGAAUACUCAUUGCGAAGGCGACCUGCUGGAACAUUACUGACGCUGAUGCACGAAAGCGUGGGGAGCAAACAGGAUUAGAUACCCUGGUAGUCCACGCCCUAAACGAUGGAUGCUAGUUGUUGCCUUGCUUGUCAGGGCAGUAAUGCAGCUAACGCAUUAAGCAUCCCGCCUGGGGAGUACGGUCGCAAGAUUAAAACUCAAAGGAAUAGACGGGGACCCGCACAAGCGGUGGAGCAUGUGGUUUAAUUCGAAGAUACGCGAAGAACCUUACCUAGGCUUGACAUUGA
rnacentral:rRNA from 1 species